AACGAACGCUGGCGGCAGGCUUAACACAUGCAAGUCGAACGCACCUUUCGGGGUGAGUGGCAGACGGGUGAGUAACGCGUGGGAAUCUACCCUUCUCUACGGGAUAGCUCCGGGAAACUGGAAUUAAUACCGUAUACGUCCUGAGGGAGAAAGAUUUAUCAGGGAAGGAUGAGCCCGCGUUGGAUUAGCUAGUUGGUGGGGUAAAGGCCUACCAAGGCGACGAUCCAUAGCUGGUCUAAGAGGAUGAUCAGCCACAUUGGGACUGAGACACGGCCCAAACUCCUACGGGAGGCAGCAGUGGGGAAUAUUGGACAAUGGGCGCAAGCCUGAUCCAGCCAUGCCGCGUGAGUGAUGAAGGCCCUAGGGUUGUAAAGCUCUUUCAGUGGGGACGAUAAUGACGGUACCCACAGAAGAAGCCCCGGCUAACUUCGUG
rnacentral:rRNA from 1 species